rnacentral:rRNA from 1 species
UACGAAGGGGGCUAGCGUUGUUCGGAAUUACUGGGCGUAAAGCGCACGUAGGCGGAUUUGUUAGUCAGGGGUGAAAUCCCGGGGCUCAACCCCGGAACUGCCUUUGAUACUGCAAAUCUUGAGUCCGAGAGAGGUGAGUGGAAUUCCUAGUGUAGAGGUGAAAUUCGCAGAUAUUAGGAAGAACACCAGUGGCGAAGGCGGCUCACUGGCUCGGUACUGACGCUGAGGUGCGAAAGCGUGGGGAGCAAAC